rnacentral:lncRNA from 1 species
AAAGAGCCACUAUUGCCAGCUCUGCUCCAUUUUUUUUCUGGCAGCCCCAGCGUCCAAUCAAGAUUUCUGGAUCUUUUCCAAUUAUAACACCAUUUGGAAAUACUCAGCAUUUUCCAGCCUUGAAUAAUGUAUUGAUCUCUUUAAAGUAGAAAAUAUUCUCACAGACCCCCAAUGUUGACUUCAAUUCUUUUUAUUGUAAUUUUACUUAAAUAUAUAUGCAAACAUAAAACACUACAAACUGUUAGGCUUAUAGCUUUUAGACAACUAUAAAAAUAAACUUACAGAACAGAUAUAAUAUAAACUACAAAACCAAUGAAAUGGAAACGAGCUACAUUAGCUUACCAGGACAGAGCAGAGAGUAUUCCCGAAGCUCCAUGCCUGCUCAGCUUGGGAGGCCAAUGUUUCUAAUUACUCUUGAGUUCUGAGCUCAGCAUUGUCAGAGGAU